GUCCACGCCUAACGAUGUCAACUGGUUGUUGGACGGCUUGCUGUUCAGUAACGAAGCUAACGCGUGAAGUUGACCGCCUGGGAGUACGGCCGCAAGGUUGAACUCAAAGGAAUUGACGGGACCCGCACAAGCGGUGGAUGAUGUGGUUUAAUUCGAUGCAACGCGAAACCUUACCUACCCUUGACAUGUCUGGAAUCCUGAAGAGAUUUGGGAGUGCUCGAAAGAGAACCAGAACACAGGUGCUGCAUGGCCGUCGU
rnacentral:rRNA from 1 species